rnacentral:rRNA from 1 species
GACGAACGCUGGCGGCGUGCUUAACACAUGCAAGUCGAACGGUAAGGCCCUUCGGGAUACACGAGUGGCGAACGGGUGAGUAACACGUGGGUGAUCUGCCCUGCACUUCGGGAUAAGCCUGGGAAACUGGGUCUAAUACCGGAUAGGACCACUGCCUGCAUGGGUGGUGGUGGAAAGCUUUUGCGGUGUGGGAUGGGCCCGCGGCCUAUCAGCUUGUUGGUGGGGUGAUGGCCUACCAAGGCGACGACGGGUAGCCGGCCUGAGAGGGUGACCGGCCACACUGGGACUGAGAUACUGCCCAGACUCCUACGGGAGGCAGCAGUGGGGAAUAUUGCACAAUGGGCGCAAGCCUGAUGCAGCAACGCCGCGUGAGGGAUGACGGCCUUCGGGUUGUAAACCUCUUUCAGCACCGACGAAGCGCAAGUGACGGUAGGUGCAGAAGAAGGACCGGCCAACUACGUGCCAGCCGCCGCCGUAA